AUUUCUGGGAUUGGUGCCAUGACAAUGGAAGACAGAAGACAAGACAAAGGCAUAACUUUCCGUAAGCAUUUCAUGGACCAGGCGAAUGCAGCUGGAUGGGGAAGCCUGUUGCACAAGGAGGUUCCAACAAGCAGAACAAAAGCCCAGGCUAGACUAUGCGCUGUGGCAUAUUAGUCAGCCUAAACACUGCCCAUUUUUUGGAGGUGAUUUAAGGCCUUGGAUAUUCAGGAAGAUGGUGAAGAUUUGGAGGUAUGCUGACUGCAACAAAGGAGGUGGGCUCUCCCGGAAAGAAAACAACCAAUCAACCACAAAGAUUUCUAACACUCAUUUGGAGAACCUCCAGAGCAUCCGGAGAAACCUUUUUAAUUGGUGCAAUGACAAAACUUGGAACCUUUGAAAAACAUUCCUUUGGUGUGGCUUGGAUUCCUAGGGACAUGACUGGAGUGGUUAUUCUUGACAUGCCCUGUAUAAAGUGCAUAGUAUUUUGGAGGCUACAUAGAUGCAAUGACAAAAUUGGAUAUUCUGCCAUAUUUACAAUUCAUUGUACUGCUUAUAUCUGAAAAGUCACAUGAGUUUGGUGAUACGGUUUGGCUCCGUGUCCCCACCCAAAUCUCAUGCUGAAUUGUAAUCCCCAAUGUUAAGGGAGGGACCUGGUGGGAGGUGAUGGGAUCAUGGGUGCAGAUUUCCCCAUUGCUGUUCUUGUGUUAGUGAGUUCUCAUGAGAUCUAGUUGUUUGAACGUGUGUGGCACCUCCCCCUUUGCUCUCUCUCUCUCUUCCUGUCAUGCGAAGAAGGUGCUUGCUUCCCCUUCACUCUUCCACCAUGGUUGUACAUUUCCUGAGGCCUCCCCAGCCAUGCUUCUUGAACACCCUGUGGAACUGUG
rnacentral:lncRNA from 1 species